UCAAAGGAAUUGACGGGGGCCCGCACAAGCGGUGGAGCAUGUGGUUUAAUUCGAAGCAACGCGAAGAACCUUACCAGGUCUUGACAUACUCGUGCUAUCCUUAGAGAUAAGGAGUUCCUUCGGGACACGGGAUACAGGUGGUGCAUGGUUGUCGUCAGCUCGUGUCGUGAGAUGUUGGGUUAAGUCCCGCAACGAGCGCAACCCUUAUUACUAGUUGCCAUCAUUAAGUUGGGCACUCUAGUGAGACUGCCGGUGAUAAACCGGAGGAAGGUGGGGAUGACGUCAAAUCAUCAUGCCCCUUAUGACCUGGGCUACACACGUGCUACAAUGGAUGGUACAACGAGUCGCCAACCCGCGAGGGUGCGCUAAUCUCUUAAAACCAUUCUCAGUUCGGAUUGCAGGCUGCAACUCGCCUGCAUGAAGUCGGAAUCGCUAGUAAUCGCGGAUCAGCACGCCGCGGUGAAUACGUUCCCGGGCCUUGUACACACCGCCCGUCACACCACGGAAGUUGGGAGUACCCAAAGUAGGUUGCCUAACCGCAAGGAGGGCGCUUCCUAAGGUAAGACCGAUGACUGGGGUGAAGUCGUAACAAGGUAACCAAGGGCGAAUUCGCGGCC
rnacentral:rRNA from 1 species